AAUCCAUAAUGUGGGCAUCUUUGUAUUAGCUUUUUAAAAUGCUCCCAAGCUCCGUGAAAGCUCUCUUCUUCUAAUUAUUUGAACGUUGCGAUCUCUCUUCUCAAUU
rnacentral:snoRNA from 2 species